rnacentral:rRNA from 1 species
GACGAACGCUGGCGGCGUGCUUAACACAUGCAAGUCGAACGAGAGGCGGACGGGUGAGUAAUGUCUGGGAAACUGCCUGAUGGAGGGGGAUAAAUACUGGAAACGGUAGCUAAUACCGCAUACCAUCAGAUGUGCCUAGAUGGGAUUAGCUAGUAGGUGGGGUAAUGGCGCACCUAGGCGACGAUCCCUAGCUGGUCUGAGAGGAUGUCCAGCCACACUGGCACUGAUACACGGUCCAGACUCCUACGUGAGGCAGCAGUGGUGAAUAUUGCACAAUGGGCGCAAGCCUGAUGCAGCCAUGCCGCGUGUGUGAAGAAGGCCUUCGGGUUGUAAAGCACUUUCAGCUAGGAGGCGUUACCGACAGAAGAAGCACCGGCUAACUCCGUGCCAGCAGCCGCGGUAAUUC